rnacentral:rRNA from 1 species
UGCCAGCAGCCGCGGUAAUACGUGGGGUGCAAGCGUUAUCCGGAAUUAUUGGGCGUAAAGUGUGCGUAGGCGUUCCGACGAGUCGCAUUUCAAAUACUAAGGCUCAACCUUAGGAAGGGGUGCGAUACUGUCGGAAUUGAGGUUUGGUGGGGGUGCUGGAACUCGCGGUGUAGCAGUGAAAUGCGUUGAUAUCGCGAAGAACACCGAAGGCGAAGGCAAGCACCUGAACAUUCUCUGACGCUGAGGCACGACAGCUAGGGUAGCGAAAAAGAUUAGAGACCUUUGUAGUCCUAGCCGUAAACGAUGUCUGCUAGAUCUCCUCGAUUAAUCGGGGGGGUCGCAAGGUAACCCGUUAAGCAGACCGCCUGGGGAGUACGGCCGCAAGGCUAAAACUUAAAGGAAUUGACGGGGAAGUGCACAACCAGGGGAGCAUGUGGUUUAAUUCGAGACGAAGCGAUAGACCUUACCCAGAUUUGACAUGCUACCGUUUUAGUUGCCUGGAAACAGGCGAUGAUCAGCAAUGAUGGUAGCACAGGUGUUACAUAGCUGUCGUCAGCUCGUGCCGUGGGGUGUCUGCUUAAGUGCAGAAACGAGCGCAACCCCUACUCUGUGUUAAAUAUUCACAGGGGACUGCCUCGCAUACAGCGGGGAGGAAGGAGGGGAUGACGUCAAGUCAGUACGAUCCUUAUAUCUGGGGCCACACACAUCCUACAAUGGGAAGUCACAAUGGGUUGCCAAGCCGCAAGGCGGAGCCAAUCCCAACAAAACUUCCCUCAGUUCAGAUUGCGGGCUGAAAUUCGCCCGCAUGAAGACGGACUUGGUAGUAAUCGCGGAUCAGCAGGCCGCGGUGAAUACGUUCUCAGAUUUUGUACACACCGCCCAUCAAGCCAGCAAAGUCGGUGGUGCCUGACGGUCCGGCGUUCGCCGGACAAAGGGUAAAAUCGGCGAUGAGGGCUAAGUUGUAACAAGGUAUCCCUAGCCGAAGCUGGGGAUG